rnacentral:misc_RNA from 1 species
GUAGGUGAACCUGCGGAAGGAUCAUUAACACAAUACUUUCAAUAUCAAUCUUGGAGCAUCCGUCUGAGCCUUCAGUUGUUAGAGUGUCGACUAGUCAAUGGUUGGAAUUUUUCGGACUAGCCUGCUUUAAGUUAGCCCGUCUCUCUUCGGAGCGGCGAUGGUUAGCGCUCUACUUCGUAGGUGAUACAGUCUCGACCAUGGCUGGCCCCUUUUUUUUUUCAAACCUUUGACAUUUGUACUGAUUUGGGCU